CUACGGGCUGCUGCAGUGAGGAAUUUUGCGCAAUGGGGGAAACCCUGACGCAGCAACGCCGCGUGAGCGAAGAAGGCCUUCGGGUCGUAAAGCUCUGUCAAGUGGGAAAAAAAUUCUUUGAUGAACAGUCAAAGGACUUGAUGGUACCACUGGAGGAAGCACCGGCUAACUCCGUGCCAGCAGCCGCGGUAAUACGGAGGGUGCAAGCGUUGUUCGGAAUUACUGGGCGUAAAGAGCGUGUAGGCGGUUUGACAAGUCAGAUGCGAAAGCCCCGGGCUCAACCCGGGAAGUGCAUUUGAAACUGUUUCACUAGAGUAUGGGAGAGGAGAUUGGAAUUCCUGGUGUAGAGGUGAAAUUCGUAGAUAUCAGGAGGAACACCCGUGGCGAAGGCGAUUCUCUGGACCAAUACUGACGCUGAGACGCGAAAGCGUGGGGAGCAAACAGGAUUAGAUACCCCCGUAGUC
rnacentral:rRNA from 1 species